rnacentral:rRNA from 1 species
CAAUGAGUCUUGAGUAGAGUUAAAUGCUUUACUCUUUAAGGACAAGUUGUGACGGGGAGCGAAAUAAUAGUAGCGAAGUUCCUGAUGUCACACUGCCAAGAAAAGCUUCUAGUGAGAAAACAACUGCCCGUACCGUAAACCGACACAGGUAGUCGAGGAGAGUAUCCUAAGGUGAGCGAGCGAACUCUCGUUAAGGAACUCGGCAAAAUGACCCCGUAACUUCGGGAGAAGGGGUGCUGACUUCGGUCAGCCGCAGUGAAUAGGCCCAAGCGACUGUUUAUCAAAAACACAGGUCUCUGCAAAAUCGUAAGAUGAAGUAUAGGGGCUGACGCCUGCCCGGUGCUGGAAGGUUAAGAGGAUGGGUUAGCUUCGGCGAAGCUCAGAAUUGAAGCCCCAGUAAACGGCGGCCGUAACUAUAACGGUCCUAAGGUAGCGAAAUUCCUUGUCGGGUAAGUUCCGACCCGCACGAAAGGCGUAACGAUUUGGGCACUGUCUCAACGAGAGACUCGGUGAAAUUUUAGUACCUGUGAAGAUGCAGGUUACCCGCGACAGGACGGAAAGACCCCAUGGAGCUUUACUGUAGUUUGAUAUUGAGUGUUUGUACCACAUGUACAGGAUAGGUAGGAGCCGAUGAGACCGGA